rnacentral:piRNA from 1 species
UGCUGUCUAUUCACUGCAUGAACUGUGCACA